rnacentral:sRNA from 1 species
AAGCGACCAAUUCAAAGCGCCGGAAUGGGGUAGCAAACCGGCCGCGUUGGACCCGCGCAAGUCGGCGUCCCCGCCCCCCUGAGUCGCCCGGGCCUGCCCAUGCGU